rnacentral:rRNA from 1 species
GACGAACGCUGGCGGCGUGCUUAACACAUGCAAGUCGAACGGAGCGAAUGAAAGCUUGCUUUUAUGAGCUUAGUGGCAAACGGGUGAGUAACACGUAGACAACCUGCCGACAGGAUGGGGACAACAUUCCGAAAGGAAUGCUAAUACCGAAUGAAGCGGAGGAGAGGCAUCUCUCCUCCGUGAAAGAUGGCCUCUGAACAUGCUAUCACCUGUCGAUGGGUCUGCGUCUGAUUAGCUGGUUGGUGAGGUAACGGCUCACCAAGGCGACGAUCAGUAGCCGGUCUGAGAGGAUGAACGGCCACAUUGGGACUGAGACACGGCCCAGACUCCUACGGGAGGCAGCAGUGGGGAAUCUUCCGCAAUGGGCGCAAGCCUGACGGAGCAACGCCGCGUGAGUGAAGAAGGUCUUCGGAUCGUAAAGCUCUGUUGACGGGGACGAACGUGCGAGAGGUGAAUUUCUCUUGCAAAACGUACCUUCGAGGAGCC